CAUAGGUUAAUGAGGCGAACCGGGGGAACUGAAACAUCUAAGUACCCCGAGGAAAAGAAAUCAACCGAGAUUCCCCCAGUAGCGGCGAGCGAACGGGGAGCAGCCCAGAGCCUGAAUCAGUGUGUGUGUUAGUGGAAGCGUCUGGAAAGGCGCGCGAUACAGGGUGACAGCCCCGUACACAAAAAUGCACAUACUGUGAGCUCGAUGAGUAGGGCGGGACACGUGGUAUCCUGUCUGAAUAUGGGGGGACCAUCCUCCAAGGCUAAAUACUCCUGACUGACCGAUAGUGAACCAGUACCGUGAGGGAAAGGCGAAAAGAACCCCGGCGAGGGGAGUGAAAAAGAACCUGAAACCGUGUACGUACAAGCAGUGGGAGCACGCUUAGGCGUGUGACUGCGUACCUUUUGUAUAAUGGGUCAGCGACUUAUAUUCUGUAGCAAGGUUAACCGAAUAGGGGAGCCGAAGGGAAACCGAGUCUUAACUGGGCGUUAAGUUGCAGGGUAUAGACCCGAAACCCGGUGAUCUAGCCAUGGGCAGGUUGAAGGUUGGGUAACACUAACUGGAGGACCGAACCGACUAAUGUUGAAAAAUUAGCGGAUGACUUGUGGCUGGGGGUGAAAGGCCAAUCAAACCGGGAGAUAGCUGGUUCUCCCCGAAAGCUAUUUAGGUAGCGCCUCGUGAAUUCAUCUCCGGGGGUAGAGCACUGUUUCGGCAAGGGGGUCAUCCCGACUUACCAACCCGAUGCAAACUGCGAAUACCGGAGAAUGUUAUCACGGGAGACACACGGCGGGUGCUAACGUCCGUCGUGAAGAGGGAAACAACCCAGACCGCCAGCUAAGGUCCCAAAGUCAUGGUUAAGUGGGAAACGAUGUGGGAAGGCCCAGACAGCCAGGAUGUUGGCUUAGAAGCAGCCAUCAUUUAAAGAAAGCGUAAUAGCUCACUGGUCGAGUCGGCCUGCGCGGAAGAUGUAACGGGGCUAAACCAUGCACCGAAGCUGCGGCAGCGACGCUGAUGCGUUGUUGGGUAGGGGAGCGUUCUGUAAGCCUGUGAAGGUGUGCUGUGAGGCAUGCUGGAGGUAUCAGAAGUGCGAAUGCUGACAUAAGUAACGAUAAAGCGGGUGAAAAGCCCGCUCGCCGGAAGACCAAGGGUUCCUGUCCAACGUUAAUCGGGGCAGGGUGAGUCGACCCCUAAGGCGAGGCCGAAAGGCGUAGUCGAUGGGAAACAGGUUAAUAUUCCUGUACUUGGUGUUACUGCGAAGGGGGGACGGAGAAGGCUAUGUUGGCCGGGCGACGGUUGUCCCGGUUUAAGCGUGUAGGCUGGUUUUCCA
rnacentral:rRNA from 1 species